rnacentral:rRNA from 1 species
CAGUCGCCGCGGUAAUACAGAGGGUGCAAGCGUUAAUCGGAAUUACUGGGCGUAAAGCGCGCGUAGGUGGUUCGCCAAGUUGGAUGUGAAAUCCCCGGGCUCAGCCUGGGAACUGCAUCCAAAACUGGCGAGCUAGAGUAUGGUAGAGGGUGGUGGAAUUUCCUGUGUAGCGGUGAAAUGCGUAGAUAUAGGAAGGAACAUCAGUGGCGAAGGCGACCACCUGGACUGAUACUGACACUGAGGUGCGAAAGCGUGGGGAGCAAACAGGAUUAGAUACCCCUGUAGUCCCUGUCUCUUAUAU